AUGGCCUCUGAGAGCUUCUUGAGUUGUGUCAUCAUUCCAGAGUUGGUAAUGUACCGUGCGUCCGCCUCCUCGACGAUGGUGCCAGCCCUCAUCAGGAGGUGCUGCAACCUCUCCACCACCUUCUUUUGCUCCUCUGGGUGUGCAUGGCUUAAGGAGGAGCGAUACUUGUUCAUCAGGAAGGAGAUGAACCUGCUCAAAAGUUCACCUGUAACUGCAGAUAUGGCAACCUCCAUGGAUUGA
rnacentral:rRNA from 1 species